rnacentral:misc_RNA from 1 species
AAGGAUCAUUAUUGAAUACAUGUGAUAGACUGUUGCUGGCUUCCCUGCCAAAGGGGGACAUGUGCACGCCUGUCAUUUUUGUUUUUCCACCUGUGCACACUUUGUAGAAUCCUAGAGAAGCAAUUGUCUGAGAAAAUCAGAUAGGUUGAGGACUGCUGUGCCUUUCAAUGGGGCCAGCUUUGCCUUGUGUAUCUAGGUUCUAUGUCAUUCACAUACACCUAUGAAUGUAACAGAAUGUUGAUCUGGGUCUUUUAGCACCUAUAAAAGUUAUAUACAACUUUCAGCAACGGAUCUCUUGGCUCUC